GGGGAGGGAGGUGGGUGAGUGGUGGGGAACGUGGAAGGAAGGAAAAGGAGCCAGACAGAGCUCUGGGCAUGUGUUUACAUGGCAAGGAUUCAGCCUGGCUUGUCCCCAACCAUAUUGCCAGGAUCUGCAUUUGUGGUAGAUGCCCAGUAAGACACCCAGUGAGUGAGUGAGCGAGCAAGCCAGCUUCUGUCCAUUGAUACCUCCUGAAAUAAAAGAUGUCUGCCACCCCAACUGUGGAAUGAGGCAAAUAGGCUCCAGAUAGCCCAGGGCCACAUAGUCUUCCUACCUCCUUGCUCCCUGUCUACCUCAGCUGCCUCUCUGUGCCCCACUUAGUGUCAUAAGGACCCUCCACACCUGUCACCUGCUGUGACACCUUUCUCCAUGUCACUUGGAUUCCUCAGGAAGACCUCCUGGAGACCCCAUCUGUCUUUUGGAUCUGCAUUCCCAGGGAUACAUCCAACCUUAGCCACACAUUCUGUCUCAUACCAUGAGGUCAGUCCAGGUGACUCUCCUCGUGUCCCCCAUGUCACUCCCUUCAGACGUGGAAGUUCAGUGAAUGAAAGGGCAGGCAGUACAUUCCGUGUUCACCGUGUGCCAGCUGACGGCUUUCAGAAUGUAUUGAGACCGACCCAGAGCAGCUGCAUUCGUCCCCAGGCUACAGUGACAAGCCAGACAUACGUCCUGCUCAUACAGGUCCACAUCCAGCUCCAGGCAGAGGGAAAGACCUGCUGGAGCCCAGAGACAGGAAGACCUGAGCGUUUUCCAGAGCAAAGGAGAGGCUGCAGUGGACAGGGCAGGAUACAAGAGGCAGGCUACAUGAGGGAGAGGGAGGGAUGAGCACAGGUAAGGACCCUGAAUCGUAUUCUAGAGAGAGGACUGGGGCAAGUGGCUAGUGGCAAGUGCUUGGUCGGCAUAUCCAAGACCUGGGUUCAAUCUCCAGUACCAAAAAAAAAAAAAAAAAAAAAAAAAAAAGCAAGGAGCAAGAGGCAGCCAAAGACCUGAGGCUGUGGAAGUGGAGGAAGGAGGCCAGGAUGGUCAAUAGACUGGUAUGUGGGGGCUGUGGUUCCACUGUGAACUGGCAUCACUGUUUCCUGGUUUUGUGUCCAUGGUAUAUGCCCACUCCCAACCCACCCAUCAGGGUUCCAGUUAGCCCGUCCAGCCCAGCUUACUAAAAGGAAGGGGAAAGAUCCAAGGGCAAACGCAUAAGGAAAGAUACUAGAAAGAACUUACAGGCAAGAUGCAAAUCACCUCUGUUCUGGCCCUGGGUAGCAGGACCUGGAGAAGGCAAACAUGUCAUUGUGGGAUUCCAGCAGCCCUCUGCCAAGUGACAGGCCCUGCCUGUUUCUAGUGGUCACCCCAGGAGCUGUCCUUUCCUUCCAACCAAAGUAAUUCUGUAUUUGAGAGAUAGCAACGAACAGUUUCCCCCUUGGAGACUGACAAGGUGCGCUGUGGAGUAGCCCUCAGGAGCAGAGGACAGAGGAAGACCCUCAAUCAUACAGCCUGAAGAAGCACACCUUACGGCCCAGCAUCACUCCCCACAGUGCUCUGUGCCCCUGCCCCUCCCCCACCAGUGAUUUAACCUAGGGUCUUGCCACCGCACCCAGCAUGCCUUCAACAUGGAGGUGGGGGGAGGGAGGGCAGGUAUCUGUGUUGGGAAGAGUACCUUCUGUGUGGGCUCUUGGGCAAGCAAUGCCACUUUCUGGGCCUCAGUUUCUCAUCUCUCACAGGGUCUCCCUGGGGAAGGCUUCUGUGGACCGUGACCCUCUGCUCUUCCCUGUCCUUUCCCACCAGCCUCCGUGGGAACUCCAGGCUUGUGAUGUAGUGAGGCUAUGAUGAGGAACAUCUGUUUGGAAGCUCUGCCCAGGGCUGAGGAAGAAAGUCAACACAGGACCCCUUCAACGGGCAUGGCACAUAUGGUGGCUCACUGCAUGAAGGGUCACUGAAGUACAUCCUCUGUGGGUCCUGGACCUGUGACAGACUCUCUGCACCUCAGGUACCCAAGGAAGCCAGAAGGAA